UUUCUUCAAUUUUUUUAUCAUUUUAUAUUAUGUACUAACCGUAUAAUUAGCAAGUGAUAAACUUUUUAUUGUAAAAAUAUUUUGUAUUGUAAAAAAUAUUAAUUUGAUAGGUAAUUAGGGAAGAAAUUUUUUACACCAGAAAAAUAAUACUGAAAAUAAAAUUCCUAUGAUCUAGUAAAAUCCCUACGAUCUUACUCCCUAGAGUAACACAAUUCCCCACUCUUUCGUUAAAACUGUGUCACGUGGUAUCCAUUAGUUCCGAUCGCGACGCGUCGAUUAUUUGGCGUUUUGUGUUCAUGGCGAAGCCUGAAAGAAGUCUUGGGAGGAAGCCGUUGCAAGCCACCCUAAAGAAGAAGUAUAACUUCCACGAACAAUAGCCGGUCGUUAUCUUGACCGGCGCUUCGCCGUAAUUUCUACGAAAGCCUUGCUAGUCCCCUCUUUUUUUUUCCGCCAUUCCUUUUUCACGUUUUGUUUUCUCGCCGUAGGCACGCAUUGUACUCGCGUUGUAUCCUUUCCGUGAACACGAUCGCCUCAACAAUGCACUGCCAUUGACUCUCUUUCACUGGAUCGUUGGAUCAGAAUGUGCAAGAAAGAAGAAGCAGAUAGAAAGUUUCUGAGUUAAACAAUUACUUAUUAUAUUUGAUUAUUAAAUUUAAUAAUCACAUUCCAAAACAAAAAUAACAAUAAAUAUAUUAAUAACCUCCACUUACCAUCCAUCAUGUGUCGAAGUACUUAGAUGUUAAUCUUCUGGAAAAAUAUUUGCCCAAGAAGAGGAGUGUGGCCGUAAUAAAAAGCGGCGCAUAGAUGCAUCCCUGCACGGCAGUAAAGACGCCGGCCGAGACAUCCAACGAGGGAGCAGCAAACCGUUCGGAAUAUUUCGUUUCUGGCGGAAGCGUGUCGGUGUUAUCUCCGCCUCUGGCGUCAGUCGGAGCCCAGCCACGUUCGACUCGUGGCGACUUUCGUCUGAAUAAUUUCUGGUAUCUCAUUGACCCAUCUUGGGAACGCACGUAGAAGAAGGCGGGUUUCGAGCGACAGCUUUGUGGCGCCUCCGCGAUUAGAAAAAUUAAGAAACCAAAGAAGGUGGAUUAAGGAUCGCGCAUAUAUUCGAGAUAAUUUUGCGUGCUGCGAAAUAUUUAAGAAUGGCUAUAAAAGUUGAUGAUUGUAUAAUCAUAGUUAAAUCUAAAGUCAUCUGAAAAUCGAUGAUAUUGUGUUAGAUCACUGAAUUUGUCUUUCUGAUGUUAGCCGUUAGUAAUAUCAUCGAAAUUAAUCGUUGAUAUUAAUUUUUUUAUUGAAAAAAGAAAAAUUCUUUAGAAAUUUUUAAUAUUUAAAUAUGUAGUCAAUUGAAAAAUGAUUAA
rnacentral:lncRNA from 1 species